CACGAACGCUCGCGGCGUGCUUAACACAUGCAAGUCGAGCGGAAAGSGCUUCGGGGGUACUCGAGCGGCGAACGGGUGAGUAACACGUGAGCAACCUGCCCUCGACUCUGGGAUAAGCCUGGGAAACCGGGUCUAAUACCGGAUACGACCCAUCAUCGCAUGGUGUGUGGGUGGAAAGAUUUGGUUCGGUCGGGGAUGGGCUCGCGGCCUAUCAGCUUGUUGGUGGGGUGACGGCCUACCAAGGCGACGACGGGUAACCGGCCUGAGAGGGCGACCGGUCACACUGGGACUGAGACACGGCCCAGACUCUACGGGAGGCAGCAGUGGGGAAUAUUGCGCAAUGGGCGGAAGCCUGACGCCCAGCGACGCCGCGUGGGGGAUGACGGCUUCGGGUUGUGGGAAACCUCUUUCAGCGGGGACGAAGCCUUUCGGGGUGACGGUACCUGCAGAAGAAGCGCCGGCUAACUACGUGCCAGCAGCCGCGGUAAUACGUAGGGCGCGAGCGUUGUCCGGAAUUAUUGGGCGUAAAGAGCUCGUAGGCGGUUUGUCGCGUCGGAUGUGAAAGCGGACGGCUUAACUGUGGGUCUGCAUUCGAUACGGGCAGACUAGAGGCAGGUAGGGCCGAGCAUGGAAUUCCCGGUGUAGCGGUGAAAUGCGCAGAUAUCGGGAGGAACACCGGUGGCGAAGGCGGUGCUCUGGGCCUUGCCUGACGCUGAGGAGCGAAAGCGUGGGGAGCGAACAGGAUUAGAUACCCUGGUAGUCCACGCCGUAAACGUUGGGCGCUAGGUGUGGGGUUCUUCCACGGAUUCCGCGCCGUASUAACGCAUUAAGCGCCCCGCCUGGGGAGUACGGCCGCAAGGCUAAAACUCACAGGAAUUGACGGGGGCCCAUCGCACAAGCGGCGGAGCAUGUUGCUUAAUUCGACGCAACGCGAAGAACCUUACCAAGGCUUGACAUCACUCGAAAACCUGCAGAGAUGUGGGGUCCUUUUUGGGCGGGUGACAGGUGGUGCAUGGCAGUCGUCAGCUCGUGUCGUGAGAUGUUGGGUUAAGUCCCGCAACGAGCGCAACCCUCGUUCCAUGUUGCCAGCAUGGGUUAUGCCGGGGACUCAUGGGAGACCGCCGGGGUCAACUCGGAGGAAGGUGGGGACGACGUCAAGUCAUCAUGCCCCUUAUGCCUUGGGCUGCAAACAUGCUACAAUGGCCGGUACAGAGGGCUGCGAUACCGUGAGGUGGAUAGCGAAUCCCUUAAAGCCGGUCUCAGUUCGGAUUGGGGUCUGCAACUCGACCCCAUGAAGUCGGAGUCGCUAGUAAUCGCAGAUCAGCAAAAUACUGCGGUGAAUACGUUCCCGGGGCCCUUGUACACACCGCCUUCGUCACGUCACGAAAGUCGGCAACACCCGAAGCCCGUGGCCUAACCCUUGUGGGGGGAGCGGUCGAAGGUGGGGCCCGCGAUUGGGACGAAGUCGUAACAAGGUAGCCGUACCGGAAGGUGGCACGCGC
rnacentral:rRNA from 1 species